rnacentral:rRNA from 1 species
GACGAACGCUGGCGGCGUGCUUAACACAUGCAAGUCGAACGGAAAGGCCCUGCUUUUGUGGGUUGCUCGAGUGGCGAACGGGUGAGUAACACGUGAGUAACCUGCCCUUGACUUUGGGAUAACUUCACGAAACUGCGGCUAAUAUCGGAUAGGAGCUCCUGCUGCAUGUUGUGGGUUGGAAAGUUUCGGCGGUUGGGGCUGGACUCGCGGCUUCUCCGCUUGUUGGUCGGGUAGUGGCUGACCAAGGCUUUGACGGAUAGCCGGCCUGGGAGGGUUACCGGCCACAUGGGGCCUGAGAGAGGCACCAGAAUCGAACGGGAGGCAGCAGGGGGGAAUAUGACGCAACGGGGGGGAGCGUGAGGCAGAAACGUCGCGUGCGUGAUGACGGCCUUCGGGGUGUAAACAGCUUUCGAAGGUGACGAAGCGUGCGUGACGGUAAUGGGUAAAGAAGCACCGGCUAACUACGUG